UAAAGAGUUCGCCGAUGAGCUAAAAGCAGAGUAACGGCCUGAAGGAGGCGGCAGACCACCACCAACAUGGCCUGGUGAUUUAUGCUUCUCCAUAGACAAACGAUCCUCAAGCACUAGCCCACUCAAUACAAAACCCUAAAAAGAAAUCAGAGAUCUGCUCUAAAGUUCACGAAAACGACUUUUACAGAUAAACCGACCGGCAGAGCAGCGUAUCUUGAGCUUCUCUAAUGGAAAUCUACCGAGACGCU